rnacentral:rRNA from 1 species
GGCGGCGUGCCUAACACAUGCAAGUCGUACGAGAAAGUUGGCUUCGGCCGAUGAGUAAAGUGGCGCACGGGUGAGUAAUGCGUGGAUAAUCUGCCCUUUAGUUGGGAAUAACGUACCGAAAGGUGCGCUAAUACCUGAUAAUACUGCAUAACUACUGUUGUGUAGUCAAAGAAGGCCUCUGUUUACAAGCUUUUGCUGAAGGAUGAGUCCGCGUACCAUUAGCUGGUUGGUGGGGUAAUGGCCUACCAAGGCUACGAUGGUUAGCUGGUCUGAGAGGAUGAUCAGCCACACUGGAACUGAGGCACGGUCCAGACUCCUACGGGAGGCAGCAGUCGAGAAUAGUCUACAAUGGUCGGAAGACUGAUAGUGCGACGCCGCGUGAACGAUGAAUCCCUUCGGGGUGUAAAGUUCUUUUAUAUGUGAGCAGUGCCCUUUAUAUGAAUAGUAUAGAGGGAGGGAUUUAAGCGUAUGAAUAAGCAACGGCUAACUCCGUG